GGCUCGCAAGCUUGGUUGGUAAAGCACUCGUCUAGCAUACAAGAGUCGUGGGUUCGAAUCCCUCCUGAGCGU
rnacentral:tRNA from 1 species